CAGGAUGAUCACUUGAGCCCAGGAGUUCAAGGCCAACCUGAGCAACACAGUAAGACUCUAAGUAUAAAUAGUAAUAUGUGUGUGUACACACACACACACACACACACACACACACACACUCUGUAAAUUACAUAAGGAAAAAGAUUGUAAGUAAAACCAUUACUUAUAGUAAUUGUCUUUAUGUGAAAAAAUUUUGGAUAUUUCUUUUUCACUUCUCCAGAUUUCUUUGUAAUAAUUUGUAUUUGUUUAUAAUACCAAUAACUAAUUUAUUUUGAAAGUAAUGCUCCAGAUUUAAAUAAGAAUCAGUCCUUGAAAUUUUUCUAAAGUUGUCUUAUUUAAACUGGCAUCUACUGGAUUUUUAAAAGGUAAACUACAGUUUUAACAUGCUAUUUCUUUAAGGUUGGAUAUAACUAAAAAUAUAAUUAGUAUUAUCAAACACAGAUCUCAAAUAAUACACUAUACUUGUGCUCCUUUUUUGAACAUGAAUCUGACCUAUCACUUAGCUGAUAAUGUUUCUCUGAUCUUUGUUUUAAGCCACUUCAAAAUGGAGCCCCAAGUAUGUUGAAGUGGGAGUUGGAGGGGUAUCACUCUUUAGUAGUACUCUUAAGUCACUAAAGAGUAAACUUUAUCUUGCGGAGUCAUAACGUAUGAUAACAUAUCUUUACUUUCUGAUAUUAGUGUUUGUGGAACCUGAAGAAUUACUUGUUCUCUAAUGAGACUUUUUCAGAUUUGACAUAGAAAAGCAGGAAGAAAUUGGUUAGAUUAAAUGAUAGCUACAUUUAUUCAAAGAUUGUACCUUAAAUGGCUUUGAAAGGAUACUACUAUGUAAAGAAUUUUUUUCUUCUAUCAUCAGUCUGAAAAAAUAUUCACUGUAUAUGAAAAAAUAUCCACUUUAUAACAUAUUAUUUGCAACAUUAAUGCAGAUACAAACAACCCUCUGUUGAGAGAAUUCCGAGAGUGUCUUACCACCGUUCUCCAGAGCAUGUUAUUUUGCACCUCUUCUGUGAAGGCCGGCGAAAUAGCUUCUUGUAAGGUCAUAGUGACUCCCAUCACAAACUCCAGCUGAACUAACUUGGAAGAGUAUCCUCCCUGACAGCUCUGGUAGGUUCUUUAUGCAACUGCUGUUUCGCCCAUUCUCUGUAAGUUCUUCUUAGAUAACACCCCAAGUGGGCUAAAUUUCUGACUGGUAAAAUCUGCUACACAGGCGUUAUUAAUUUUACUCAGCUCUUGUAAAGCGUUUACAUUAGAAGGAUAUAAAUGCUAAAACCCAGAGCCAUACUACAUUAAAAUAAUAGCAAUAAUAAUAACAAAACCUACAUACCACUUGUACAUCUGAAGGGACUCUGGAAAGGAAGUCAAGUAGUUCAUUGUUAUCAAUUGCAUAUGGACUCCGAAGCUUUUUUGUAAAUUUAUUGAUUCCUGAAAAAGUGAUAGAUUAAACAUUAUUUAAAUAACCAAAAUUGGAGAUAAACAGAGCACGUUUCUGGCAAAAGUGUUAUAGCAAUUGGAAGAUCUAACUUGUAUGCCUUGAACCAGUGAACCAAUGCACCCAAUUUUUUCCCUCUCUUCCUCUUUUUCUCCUUCAUUUCUUCCUCCUUCCUCAGUUGCUGCUCUGUCACUUUGUACUGUAGUAGCUUCUUCCAAGCAGGAAAGGGUUUCUAUGUGGGAAAUAAAGGAGGUUCCCUGGCAGUAAUUAGCAAUCUCUUGCAUUUUUCCCCUCUGUGUUACAGUAUACUUAGAAGCCCUACUUUAGUAUUUCAUUUCUGAUGAAACUUGCUUUCCUACUUUUUGGGUUAAGAUUUUUAAGGCAAGAUGUCUAACUUAUUGGUUUCCCCUUUUCCAAAAAAUGCAUCUUUUUGGAGGUGGGAGUGUGUGUUGCUGUUAUGCCCGAUCAAUGUUUAGAAGACACGUGAUCUUUAUUUUUUUUUUCAAACCGGAAAUGAAAAUAUUUACUCCCAGCUUUGUAAAAAAAAAAAUAAACACCUUUACAUGAAAUCAACAAACUGGUAAAGACUGAGCCAUAAACUAGAGCAUUUUGGCUCUUCUUCAGGGAGUUCAUGCAGAAUAAGCUUCUAGAAUCUGUCUCCUCAUGUAAGACCUAUAGUCUUAAAUUUCUGGCUAAUAUUUCAGCAAUCACCUACCACCAAAGGAAUACUUUUUUUGUUUUAUUUUGUUUGAUGAAACAAGAGGCCCAAACACAUUCUGCAAAGUUACUUUUAAGGCAGCUACUCAGUGAGGCCACUGCAAGUUACAUAGCUAGAUGUCUGCCGUGGGCUCCAGUUUCUGCAAACCUGGGAGAACAGGGCAUUUGCCACCACCUAUUGCAACAGAGAUGACUCCAGAAGCCAAGGCAGGUCUGACCCUAGGUAGACUAAUUUUUUCAAUAAAGAAGCAUCUGCCUUAACUAUCAGGAAGAAAUGAAAGAUGAACAUACAAUAGGAAGUAAGAACAUAGUGGAAAUUAAAUUAUUCUUCCCUUAUAUAAUGAAAGUGCUGUCUAAAUUGAAUUUCUUUGAAUUACAGAAAUUAGGAAAGGAAAAAAUAAUUCCCAUUUCCCCCACCUCUCACCCAGGCUGUAAAGGUAAUGCUAGUGAUACAGGGUAAGAGGGCCUGCUCAAUAUGUGAUAAGUUGGACCAAAAAGAAUAGGGAAAUAGGAAUCUUAAAAGCAGAGGGCUUGGGGUAUCAGACUUGAACUCACUUUAUUCCAAUAUAUUUCUUCAAAAGCGUUAAAGAGAAAAAAAAUUUUGCUUUCAGUGUAAGCACAUGCUUUCCAAAGCUAAGACCCAUUUUGGUCCUUUGUGUUUUGUAUAGGUUUAGCAAUCUUAGGUGUAUGUGUAGGCAGGUGAGGGGCAGGUAGAGAAUUCUUCUUCUCCCCAGUCUUGUUUAUGUAUUAUUAAUGUUGUAGUAGAUCCUAGAGAUGGAAAGUUGUUUUCCAAACCAAGAAUUUUGUCAGGAAAGAAAUUGAAGAAUGCUGCAACUGACAAUCUCCUAAAUGGAGCCCAGGUACGUAGGAAUCAUUGGCAUGCAGCAUACUCACAUUAAAAAUUAGGACCGAAAAAAAUCACCUUUAAUGUAGGUAUUUAUAGAAACAGUCUUAUUUAGUUCACAUAAAGGGGUCUUACUAAGGAACCUGCAAGUGCCAAGGACCCUUUUCCCAAAUGCUAAAGGUGACCUCUUAAACAGGCAGCCAUGUAUAGUACCAUGUUUACAUAUACUUCCACAAGAUAAAAUACAACAGCAAAGAAAGCAUAUUUUCUUAAAUGCACCAUAUGGAUUGAAAUGCCUCUGUUUGUAUAUAAGUGGUGAAAAUAAAUCAGAGGGAUAUCUAGACAAAGCUACACUUUGAUAUAUGAAGAAUCUUUACAACUCACAUGUUUAUUGUAUGAUGAAACCUAGUGUGCCAGAUAAGAAAAAUACAUUUUGCAGGUAGACCUAAAUCUUUAUACUGUUGUGAUUUUUAACUGACCUGUCUCUUUUCAUCAUGGAGUAGCUUCAUGACCAUAAAUACAGAGAACUGCUGACAGUGUAACUCAUCUCUUAAACACAGUUUGUUCGUAGCAGCUAAGACAGUUUGGGGGAGCCUGGGAAGGUUUACUUACCCCAGACAAGGACAAUGUAUCUCAGCGGAAUGCAGUACAGGAUGACUGUGAACACACAGAGGGCUACAAUGGCCAGCCAGCUUAAGAAUGGGACAGUCCAGUUGAAAGUACUGAAUGAAAAAUUAACACAUCAGCAAUCUGAGUACUUCAUACUUUUUUCAAAUAUCAAAAUACAUAUGAUUCUGACUUAACUUGGGACCUAGUUAGUCGGCAUUUCUCUCUGGAAUAGAGUCCAAUUGUAAUAGGUUAUCAGAAGACACAGCCUAGUUUGUCAUAAUCUGCUCAGUUGCAUGAACACAGGGCCCAGGUAAAGAGUCUUGCUGCCAGUUUCUCCAGAUUGUCCCAGGUGACUUCAGCAUCUAAAGCUCUUGCACUACUUGGGUGACUUCCCACAUGGAAAAAGAUCUUUAUUUUUCUACUACUAAGACAAGUAACCAUCCCUGUUUUCUCCAACUUUUCAGAGGGGAAUGCCCCUGGGCCUACCAUUCUUUCUUCUGUCAACUCUCAGUAUUCCCCACAUUGGGAAUAAAAUGUUGCCAGCAUGGUUAUGUAAAAAAUCCUCUGAAUGUUAGAAUUCCUUAGAGGAAUACUCACUUCCUACCUCAGCUAUGUUUCAAAUAGAACUGGAAAUCAGGAAAGAACAGAACAGUUAGCCUUGCAAAACUUGACCUCUCAUCAUUGACCUUCUUCCCAGAAAUACAUAGGUAAUUACGAAAUAAAAUCAGCAUUGCUUACUAUUAUCUCUCAUGUACUUCUUGUGAAGGAGAGCAUUCUGGCAAAAGUAAUUGGUAAUGGAGAGGGCUGAGUCAGAGAAGGCUGCAAGACUCAGUAUUGACAAUAAGACAGAAUAGCAAACAGAAACAAGACCAAUGAACAGAAUAAGUUACAAAAAAAAAAGUACUGAGGAGAUGGGAAGGAAUUUACUGAGACAAAAAGGGAAAAGAAAAAUGAAGACAAAGGCAAAAAACAUGGAGUAGAAAAUCAGGAAAAUGGAACAUGGGACGAUUGUAAUCAUUUAAGCCUUUUUGUGUGGAAGCCAGUCUGGUACUUAAGAGUAUGCCAAAAUUAUAAAGAAAAUAGAAACACUAUAUAGAGCCUCCAGGGUUGGGCAUAUAAAUAUAUCACCAUUUACAAGCAUACCAUCGCAUUCUUUCAAAUUUCUCCUAAGAGUUCAUUCACUAAAGAGGAACUAACAUAUCAUGUCAUGUGACCAAGAAGUUAGCAGAUCUGUAUUCAAAGCCUAGAUUCUGUUAUGUGGAUUUAGCUGAGUCAACCUCUCUAACCCUUUCUCCAUUUGUAAAAUGGGAUAGCUUUUAUUCUGUCAAGAAUAAAAAAGUCGUUGUGAUGGUAACAUGUUUAUGUGAAUCAAGUUGAAAUUAUUAGAACUAAUCAACUCAAGGAAUUUCAAUUAUGGUACUUUUUUCUUAUGAGACAGUGAGAAGGGCCCCUAAGACACUUCAGAAAAACGUAUUGUUCAGAUAGAAAAAUGUUACUGUCUUAUUUCUUCUAAUUUCCUGGUACUGUAUGUUGUACUUACUUGAGGUGAGUUUUUUCAGGGCAAUUUUUUCCCAAUAAAGGAUGAUUGCUAAGAGAUUUUCUUCUAUACAGUGCCUCAGCAUAAUUAGUAAUUAGUUGUUCCGUAGCUUUGUGGCACGUAGCUUGCUUUUUGUCUCUCUCUAGGUCAAAAUUAUUGCCUAAAAUUGUUUUUUCUACCAAAUGAGCCAAUGUUGGGUCAAUCUGGGUAUUCUAUUUUCAGUAACCCUUCGGGUCUGGCUUUUCUGCCUUUGUCUUUUUCCUCUUAUGGUCAACUGUGAGCAUCUGUAACUGUCACCAGGUAAAGGAUCAUGCCUUCCCUUCCUGAUGGACACCUUUGCUUCUGCUUGCUUGUGGAGAGAACAGAAGGCUGAGGGAAGGAAAUUGACAGAACUUUCAUAAAGCCAAAGACUGGCAGAAAUAAAGUAAAUAAUGAUAAAACUGAGCAAUAGAUCACCCAGAAGGAGUGUCCCCUGCCAAAAGGAAUGUGGCAUUUCACCCUGUGAGAAACAAAUAGACACCCUGUCCUACGGAAGACUGGGGCUUACAUGUCACCGUCACUCACUUCUUUAUCCUUUCGCCAAAGGAAGCCACUUCAUCUAGGAUGUUCUGGACACUGACACAUACCUCCUGGAUGGCGUAGAUUUUAUUUAUAAAUCCCUUUUUUUCACUGUCCUAAAAUGCAAUAAAAAAAAAAAUUCUGUAUGA